GUCGAGCGGUAGAGAGAAGCUUGCUUCUCUUGAGAGCGGCGGACGGGUGAGUAAUGCCUAGGAAUCUGCCUGGUAGUGGGGGAUAACGUUCGGAAACGGACGCUAAUACCGCAUACGUCCUACGGGAGAAAGCAGGGGACCUUCGGGCCUUGCGCUAUCAGAUGAGCCUAGGUCGGAUAGCUAGUUGGUGGGGUAAUGGCUCACAAGGCGACGAUCCGUAACUGUCUGAGAGGAUGAUCAGUCACACUGGAACUGAGACACGGUCCAGACUCCUACGGGAGGCAGCAGUGGGGAAUAUUGGACAAUGGGCGAAAGCCUGAUCCAGCCAUGCCGCGUGUGUGAAGAAGGUCUUCGGAUUGUAAAGCACUUUAAGUUGGGAGGAAGGGCUGUAGAUUAAUACUUUGCAAUUUUGACGUUACCGACAGAAUAAGCACGGCUAACUCUGUGCCAGCAGCCGCGGUAAUACAGAGGGUGCAAGCGU
rnacentral:rRNA from 1 species